CAGCCGCCACGGUAAAACGUAGGUGGCAAGCGUUGUCCGGAAUUAUUGGGCGUAAAGGGCUCGCAGGCGGUUUCUUAAGUCUGAUGUGAAAGCCCCCGGCUCAACCGGGGAGGGUCAUUGGAAACUGGGAAACUUGAGUGCAGAAGAGGAGAGUGGAACUCCACGUGUAGCGGUGAAAUGCGUAGAGGUGUGGAGGAGCACCAGUGGCGAAGGCGACUCUCUGGUCUGUAACUGACGCUGAGGAGCGAAAGCGUGGGGAGCGAACAGGAUUAGAUACCCCUGUAGUCCCUGUCUCUUAUAC
rnacentral:rRNA from 1 species